UUUAAUUUGUUUUGGUGGCAUAUGCAAGUGCACUACAAUAUUUUGAGUGCGAUCAAACUCAGAUUAUGACUCUGGUCAUCUUUUAGUUUUUUUAAUGUAUGUCCAUAUGAAGGGACCAUACAAUUUAUUUUGGUUGGGUGGAUGUACACCAAUUCACCUAGAAUUAGCAGGACGUGUCCAUUUUACUUUGCAUGCGCCUACACUAGAUUCGCCAAUAUCUAGUUAUUUUGUCGAUGAUGCCGGCUAGCAUUAUUUCGGGCCGAUGCAUUUUUUUAUAUAGUGCACUCAUUUAGUCUAUUUUAUAGACAUCUGGUUAAUAUAACACCAUCUACGAUUUGAGCGGCAUUUGUUUAUGCAUCAUGAAGUGCGAAUAUUACUUUCUAUACACACAGGUUUGAACAAGAUUAAUUUGUGCUACAUGACUCAUUUUCGCAUAUCAUGCACGCAUGUGAUCAUAGAACAUGCGACUAAGUAUGGUGUCUUUUGACGAGCACCUAUUGUUUUGCAAUAUUUUUUAUAUGCAUUUUAUUUGUUCAUCAUUUUUUAUGUUGAUUUUCCCCGAGUCAUACCUUGCCGUGAUUCCAUUGAGAACAAAUUCUUCACUCUACAUAAGGGAAUAAAUACCUUGAUUUGUGUCACGUCAUUGAUACAGAAUGAAUAUAUUUAAAUGCGUAAAUGCAUACAAUAAAAAGGAGAUCAAACAUUGCAGGUACAUUAUUUCCAGAACUCUUACAUUUACAUAAAAGAUCUGUUAAUUACAUCUCCGAAGAGAAAACCCCUGAUUAAGAAUUCCAACAUAGCUAUUACAUAAGAUUGCAACACAUUCCUAUUACAACAUGCUACAAAAAAAAGAAAUUCCUCCUCGCGAUCGUUGACGCCGGCAUGCUCGGGGGAGCCUUGGACUUUGUUGGUAUUAUCAUAUGCGAUGACUUUCAUUUAUAUUUGCUUUCAUUUGACUCGUACUUGUAUUGGCAGUACGUGUGUGCAUGCUUGAAUGACUUCACUUACUUUUCCUUGUUGACUAAUCAAUAUAUAGACUUUGAUUUAUUUUCUUUACUUUGUAUGAGAAAGUCAUCUUAAUGGUUAACCAAUCUGUUAAAUGAGUCUUCAAACAUCAUGAUGCAUGCGUAUGGGACAUAUAGUCAUGCACGUGUUCUGUGCAAUGCAACUACUUUAGUACUAACAAUUGUAGUACUCUUUGUUUUAUGAGUAGAUGACAUCUAUGUUUUCUUACUAUUUGCAAGCCGUAUGGGGGAUGCAUGAUCUAACUUUCAUCUUAUGCGAAGAUAAGCUAGAUGCGACCUUUUCGAGCAUACACAUAUAUGGAGCAGAUAACAGAUAUUUAAUUUGUUUUGGUGGCAUAUGCAAGUGCACUACAAUAUUUCGAGUGUGAUCAAACUAAGAUUAUGACUCUGGUCAUCUUUUAGUUUUUUUAAUGUAUGUCCAUAGGAAGGGACCAUACAAUUUAUUUUGGUUGGGUGGAUGUACACCAAUUCACCUAGAAUUAGCAGGACGUGUCCAUUUUACUUUGCAGGCGCCUACACUAGAUUCGCCAAUAUCUAGUUAUUUUGUCGAUGAUGCCGGCUAGCAUUAUUUGGGGCUGAUGCAUUUUUUUUAUAUAGUGCACUCAUUUAGUCUAUUUUAUAGAAAUCUGGUUAAUAUAACACCAUUUACGAUUUGAGCGGCAUUUGUUUAUGCAUCAUGAAGUGCGAAUAUUACUUUCUAUACACACAGGUUUGAACAAGGUUAAUUUGUGCUACAUGACUCAUUUUCGCAUAUCAUGCACGCAUGUGAUCAUAGAACAUGCGACUAAGUAUGGUGUCUUUUGACGAGCACCUAUUGUUUUGCAAUAUUUUUUAUAUGCAUUUUAUUUGUUCAUCAUUUUUUAUGUUGAUUUUCCCCGAGUCAUACCUUGCCGUGAUUCCAUUGAGAACAAAUUCUUCACUCUACAUAAGGGAAUAAAUACCUUGAUUUGUGUCACGUCAUUGAUACAGAAUGAAUAUAUUUAAAUGCGUAAAUGCAUACAAUAAAAAGGAGAUCAAACAUUGCAGGUACAUUAUUUCCAGAACUCUUACAUUUACAUAAAAGAUCUGUUAAUUACAUCUCCGAAGAGAAAACCCCUGAUUGAGAAUUCCAACAUAGCUAUUACAUAAGAUUGCAACACAUUCCUAUUACAACAUGCUACAAAAAAAAGAAAUUCCUCCUCGCGAUCGUUGACGCCGGCAUGCUCGGGGGAGCCUUGGACUUUGUUGAUAUUAUCAUAUGCGAUGACUUUCAUUUAUAUUUGCUUUCAUUUGACUCGUACUUGUAUUGGCAGUACGUGUGUGCAUGCUUGAAUGACUUCACUUACUUUUCCUUGUUGACUAACCAAUAUAUAGACUUUGAUUUAUUUUCUUUACUUUGUAUGAGAAACUCAUCUUAAUGGUUAACCAAUCUGUUAAAUGAGUCUUCAAACAUCAUGAUGCAUGCGUAUGGGACAUAUAGUCAUGCACGUGUUCUGUGCAAUGCAACUACUUUAGUACUAACAAUUGUAGUACUCUUUGUUUUAUGAGUAGAUGACAUCUAUGUUUUCUUACUAUUUGUAAGCCGUAUGGGGGAUGCAUGAUCUAAUUUUCAUCUUAUGCGAAGAUAAGCUAGAUGCGACCUUUUUGAGCAUACACAUAUAUGGAGCAGAUAACAGAUAUUUAAUUUGUUUUGGUGGCAUUUGCAAGUGCACUACAAUAUUUCGAGUGCGAUCAAACUAAGAUUAUGACUCUGGUCAUCUUUUAGUUUUUUUAAUGCAUGUCCAUAGGAAGGGACCAUACAAUUUAUUUUGGUUGGGUGGAUGUACACCAAUUCACCUAGAAUUAGCAGGACGUGUCCAUUUUACUUUGCAUGCGCCUACACUAGAUUCGCCAAUAUCUAGUUAUUUUGUCGAUGAUGCCGGCUAGCAUUAUUUGGGGCCGAUGCAUUUUUUUAUAUAGUGCACUCAUUUAGUCUAUUUUAUAGACAUCUGGUUAAUAUAACACCAUUUACGAUUUGAGCGGCAUUUGUUUAUGCAUCAUGAAGUGCGAAUAUUACUUUCUAUACACACAGGUUUGAACAAGGUUAAUUUGUGCUGCAUGACUCAUUUUCGCAUAUCAUGCACGCAUGUGAUCAUAGAACAUGCGACUAAGUAUGGUGUCUUUUGACGAGCACCUAUUGUUUUGCAAUAUUUUUUAUAUGCAUUUUAUUUGUUCAUCAUUUUUAUGUUGAUUUUCCCCGAGUCAUACCUUGUCGUGAUUCCAUUGAGAACAAAUUCUUCACUCUACAUAAGGGAAUAAAUACCUUGAUUUGUGUCACGUCAUUGAUACAGAAUGAAUAUAUUUAAAUGCGUAAAUGCAUACAAUAAAAAGGAGAUCAAACAUUGCAGGUACAUUAUUUCCAGAACUCUUACAUUUACAUAAAAGAUCUGUUAAUUACAUCUCCGAAGAGAAAACCCCUGAUUAAGAAUUCCAACAUAGCUAUUACAUAAGAUUGCAACACAUUCCUAUUACAACAUGCUACAAAAAAAAGAAA